rnacentral:rRNA from 1 species
AUACAGAGGGUGCGAGCGUUAAUCGGAAUUACUGGGCGUAAAGCGUGCGUAGGUGGUCUGUUAAGUCAGGUGUGAAAGCCCUGGGCUCAACCUAGGAAUUGCAUUUGAUACUGGCAGACUAGAGUGUGGUAGAGGGUAGUGGAAUUCCCGGUGUAGCGGUGAAAUGCGUAGAUAUCGGGAGGAACAUCAGUGGCGAAGGCGGCUACCUGGACCAACACUGACACUGAGGUACGAAAGCGUGGGGAGCAAACAGGAUUAGAAACCCCGGUAGUCC